GUGCUCCCUUUGGCAGCACAUAUACUAAAAAACUGGAACCAUACAGAGAAGAUUAGAAUGCACAAGGAUGACAUGCAAAUUCGUGAAGCGUUCCAUAUUAAA
rnacentral:snRNA from 1 species